CUCAGCCCACGGCUACAUGGAGGAGAAUGAAGAAGUCUGGCAAUGAUGACGAUGCUUCAAGUGUGACCUCAGAACAGACCAGCACCGUGAUGACGGAGGACGUGGAUGAUCUGGAGUAGUUCGCUCAGGUUCUGGGCUACAAGAAAAAUGGGGCUGAUCAUUAAGGUUAUUUUUCCCCCCCAGUAAGGGUGUUUACACACCUCUCUACAACUGUUAGGUUUCACUCAUGUUUAUUGUAAAGCCGCUGACUGUUAGGUUACACUCAUGUCUAUGGAAGGUACUCUCGUUAUUAUUUAUUGAUUUAAUUUGUAUAGAAAGAAGGAGCAGAAACGCGUGUUUCUGAGUAGACUAGUCAGUGUUAGUGACAUUUUUUUUAAAUUAUUAUUUUGAUUUCUGUGCUCGAUUUGAAAGCAGGGCUGGAAUCUUAACGGCGGCCGUUUCGUUGGCGGUUUUUAACGUUUGCUUCCCGCCCUGGACGUAUGAAGAUCGACUUGGUGAAGUUUUAAGUGUCUGUGUGCUGGUGACUCGUGGUUCCAGUGACGUGAAGUUUUAAUUUGCUCCCGCCGUCCUGAGCUUGGUGCGUGUGUGUUUUUUUUUAUUUUUUGCGGCCGAGGCGGCGAGCGCGACCGCAUGACGAAGGGAAAAAGCCGACGGCCGGAGUCGCUGUGGUUUGUUUGGACGAAAAAAGGAGCCAAAUCUUAUUAGUUUUCCUCUCCUCUUAAUCUCACUAAUAGCUCUGUUUUAUGCUUCAAAAAUGGAGAAAUGUAAGGCCUCUCUGCUGUGUUUACCUGCCAAAAUAGUAAGAAUAAAUCAGACCGAGCUGAAGCAAGUGGCUUUAGCUGCUUUAGUGCGAAAGUGCCAAGCUUGUCUCGCUGUGAAAUCACUACAUUCCCCCUUCAGCCAAGAUUAAAACGACAGUUUUCAGUUUUUGACUAAAGCAACUUGAAUUUUAAAAAAGCUCUCCUUUUUCCAUCUAAUUUCUCCGCUUUCCUCGGAAAACGUCUAAAUCUAGAGUGAAAUCGUCUUUAAAAAGUGCCGACGCCUCGCCGUCCCCCGCUCCUCUUUUUUGGCACAAAUCCUUAAAAAGCAGCAGAGGAACGGGCCUGAAAUGAUCCCGGAUGAGGUGGCAGCCGGGGAACAGAGGGAUCUCGCGGCGCUGCGGCAGACGGAGAGCUCCUGAUCCUCCUCCUUUUUUGUCCCAUUACGUCCACUGCCAGGACAACGGGAGGUGAUGGACUCCUGUCUCACGUCAUAAACGCCUUCGCCUGCUCUCGUCUAACGGCAGUCAUUUCAAGGCCCGACUGAGCCGCCUGACUAACAUCCUAAUCCCACAGGGACAUGUGUCGAUAGACACGUUGCUCAGAAAUCUCUGUAAUAAAUCCAACUGAUUAAUAACCCACAGAAAUCUUCAACUCGGCUGUUUUUUUUGUCGUUGAAAAACGUGUCGUCUGAAGAGUGCCGACCCUGGAUUUAUUUUGGCGGCGCGGGGGAACGGAGAAUGUAUCAUGUUCUGGUCUUUCACUGCAAAAACGGA